rnacentral:rRNA from 1 species
UACGAAGGUCCCAAGCGUUGUUCGGAAUCACUGGGCGUAAAGCGCGUGUAGGCUGCGCAGUAAGUCAGAUGUGAAAUCUUCGGGCUCAACCCGGAAACUGCAUCCGAUACUGCUGCGCUAGAGGACUGGAGAGGGAUGUGGAAUUCUUGGUGGAGCAGUGAAAUGCGUAGAUAUCAAGAGGAACACCAACGGCGAAGGCAACAUCCUGGACAGAUCCUGACGCUCAGACGCGAAGGCUAGGGUAGCGAACGGG